rnacentral:tRNA from 1 species
AUUUAAGUAAUUUAAAAUAAAAUUUUGAUUUGUGGUAUCAAAAAUGUAAAUUUCUUACCUUAAAUU